rnacentral:rRNA from 1 species
UACGAAGGGUGCAAGCGUUACUCGGAAUUACUGGGCGUAAAGCGUGCGUAGGUGGUUCGUUAAGUCUGAUGUGAAAGCCCUGGGCUCAACCUGGGAAUUGCAUUGGAUACUGGCGGGCUAGAGUGCGGUAGAGGAUGGCGGAAUUCCCGGUGUAGCAGUGAAAUGCGUAGAGAUCGGGAAGAACAUCGGUGGCGAAAGCGCUCUACUGGACCGCAACUGACACUCAGGGACGAAAGCUAGGGGAGCGAAUGGG